CCCUUAGAUGUUCUGGGCCGCACGCGCGCUACAAUGGUCUUCGCAAACGGAUGCAUUCUCGAAGGAGAAUGCCAAUCUUGGAAUCUAUGCCUUGGUCGGGACAGUUGCUUGCAAUUUUUCGACUCGAACCAGGAAUUCCUUGUAAUCGUGAUUCAUCACAUCACGAUUAAUACGUCCCUGCCCUUUGUACACACCGCCCGUCGCUCCUACCGAUCGAAGAGUUAGGUGAAUUGUUUUGAUCGAUAAGAUUUGACUAUGGUCAACUCUCGUUGUGAAAUUCUGUGAAUCUGACUGUUUAGAGGAAGGAAAAGUCGUAACA
rnacentral:rRNA from 1 species